rnacentral:rRNA from 1 species
UACGUAGGCAGCGAGCGUUGUUCGGAGUUACUGGGCGUAAAGGGUGUGUAGGCGGUUGUUUAAGUUUGGUGUGAAAUCUCCCGGCUCAACUGGGAGGGUGCGCCGAAUACUGAAUGACUAGAGUGCGGGAGAGGAAAGUGGAAUUCCUGGUGUAGCGGUGAAAUGCGUAGAUAUCAGGAGGAACACCGGUGGUGUAGACGGCUUUCUGGACCGUAACUGACGCUGAAACA